rnacentral:piRNA from 1 species
UGGGUGAAUGUGGAGAGCACAUGGCCA